rnacentral:snRNA from 1 species
GUGUUCAAUUCGGCAGCACAUAUACUAAAAUGGGAACAGUACAGAGAAGCUUAGCAGGGCCCUGUGCAAAGAUGACACAAAUUCAUGAGGCGUUCCAUAUUUUU